GAUGAACGCUGGCGGCGUGUCUAAUACAUGCAAGUCGAGCGAACAGACGAGGAGCUUGCUCCUCUGACGUUAGCGGCGGACGGGUGAGUAACACGUGGAUAACCUACCUAUAAGACUGGGAUAACUUCGGGAAACCGGAGCUAAUACCGGAUAAUAUAUUGAACCGCAUGGUUCAAUAGUGAAAGACGGUUUUGCUGUCACUUAUAGAUGGAUCCGCGCCGCAUUAGCUAGUUGGUAAGGUAACGGCUUACCAAGGCAACGAUGCGUAGCCGACCUGAGAGGGUGAUCGGCCACACUGGAACUGAGACACGGUCCAGACUCCUACGGGAGGCAGCAGUAGGGAAUCUUCCGCAAUGGGCGAAAGCCUGACGGGGCAACGCCGCGUGAGUGAUGAAGGUCUUCGGAUCGUAAAACUCUGUUAUUAGGGAAGAACAAAUGUGUAAGUAACUAUGCACGUCUUGACGGUACCUAAUCAGAAAGCCACGGCUAACUACGUG
rnacentral:rRNA from 1 species